rnacentral:rRNA from 1 species
CUCUACUGUAACUUGAAAUUGAAAUUGGACUUUAUUUGCGCAGUAUAGGUGGGAGGCGUUGAGAAGAAUCUUGCGGGAUUUUUGGAGCCAUCAGUGAGAUACCACUCUUGUAAUGUUAGAUUUCUAACUUUGGAUCAUUAUCUGGUCAAAGAACAGUUUCAGGCGGGCAGUUUGACUGGGGCGGUCGCCUCCCAAACGGUAACGGAGGCGCACAAAGGUUUCCUCUGAACGGGUAGAAAUCGUAUCUAGAGUGUAAAGGCAUAAGGAAGCUUGACUGUGAGACCUACAAGUCGAGCAGGGACGAAAGUCGGUCUUAGUGAUCUGACGGUGCUGAGUGGAAAGGCCGUCACUCAACGGAUAAAAGUUA